rnacentral:lncRNA from 1 species
GGGUUCAGCUGUAGGCUGAUAAACAUGUGAGAACAUGAAGAAAUCCUGUAAAUUGGGAAUGUUGGGCCUUCAACUGCAGUGAAUUAGUGCAUAUGCUUGCUUCAGUCAUGAUCUGUCUGCUCACCAGCCAAGAGCCUGUGGUCCUGCGUCUCACUUUGUGGUGUUUAGGUACAGACAGAAAGGUGCUUGUAUCUAUAACAAACAGCUGCACAUGAAGUUGAGUUUUUCCAGACAAAGACAUUGUUCUAAAGAAUAAAAGAGAAACUCCGCAAUUUUAAGCUGUAAUU